AGCGAACGCUGGCGGCAGGCCUAAUACAUGCAAGUCGAACGCACCUUCGGGUGAGUGGCGGACGGGUGAGUAACGCGUGGGAACGUGCCCUUUGGUUCGGAACAACACAGGGAAACUUGUGCUAAUACCGAAUGUGCCCUUCGGGGGAAAGAUUUAUCGCCAUUGGAGCGGCCCGCGUUGGAUUAGCUUGUUGGUGGGGUAAAAGCCCACCAAGGCGACGAUCCAUAGCUGGUCUGAGAGGAUGAUCAGCCACACUGGGACUGAGACACGGCCCAGACUCCUACGGGAGGCAGCAGUAGGGAAUCUUGCGCAAUGGGCGAAAGCCUGACGCAGCCAUGCCGCGUGAAUGAUGAAGGUCUUAGGAUUGUAAAAUUCUUUCACCGGGGAAGAUAAUGACGGUACCCGGAGAAGAAGCCCCGGCUAACUUCGUGC
rnacentral:rRNA from 1 species